rnacentral:ncRNA from 1 species
GGCACCGUCGCUGACGUGUGCACGACACACCGGUAAGUCCGACGCGCCCCCGUGGCGCGGCCUUCCAGGCUUGGGAUUAC